UAGUGGCGGACGGGUGAGUAACGCGUGAGAAUCUGGCUUCAGGUUCGGGACAACAGUUGGAAACGGCUGCUAAUACCGGAUGUGCCCUUGGGUGAAAGAUUUAUCACCUGAAGAUGAGCUCGCGUCUGAUUAGCUAGUAGGUGUGGUAAGAGCGCACCUAGGCGACGAUCAGUAGCUGGUCUGAGAGGAUGAUCAGCCACACUGGGACUGAGACACGGCCCAGACUCCUACGGGAGGCAGCAGUGGGGAAUUUUCCGCAAUGGGCGAAAGCCUGACGGAGCAAUACCGCGUGAGGGAGGAAGGCUCUUGGGUUGUAAACCUCUUUUCUCAGGGAAGAAUGAUGACGGUACCUGAGGAAUAAGCAUCGGCUAACUCCGUGCCAGCAGCCGCGGUAAUACGGAGGAUGCAAGCGUUAUCCGGAAUGAUUGGGCGUAAAGCGUCCGCAGGUGGCAAUGUAAGUCUGCUGUCAAAGCGUCUGGCUCAACCAGAUAAAGGCAGUGGAAACUACAUAGCUAGAGUAAGGUAGGGGUAGAGGGAAUUCCUGGUGUAGCGGUGAAAUGCGUAGAGAUCAGGAAGAACACCGGUGGCGAAAGCGCUCUGCUGGACCUUAACUGACACUGAGGGACGAAAGCUAGGGGAGCGAAUGGGAUUAGAUACCCCAGUAGUCCUAGCCGUAAACGAUGGAUACUAGGCGUUGCCCGUAUCGACCCGGGCAGUGUCGUAGCUAACGCGUUAAGUAUCCCGCCUGGGGAGUACGCAGGCAACUGUGAAACUCAAAGGAAUUGACGGGGGCCCGCACAAGCGGUGGAGUAUGUGGUUUAAUUCGAUGCAACGCGAAGAACCUUACCAGGGCUUGACAUGUCCGGAAUCCUCUUGAAAGGGAGGAGUGCCUUCGGGAGCCGGAACACAGGUGGUGUAUGGCUGUCGUCAGCUCGUGUCGUGAGAUGUUGGGUUAAGUCCCGCAACGAGCGCAACCCUCGUUCUUAGUUGCCAUCAUUAAGUUGGGAACUCUAAGGAGACUGCCGGUGCCAAACCGGAGGAAGGUGGGGAUGACGUCAAGUCAGCAUGCCCUUUACGCCCUGGGCUACACACGUACUACAAUGCUAUGGCCAAAGGGCAGCAAGCCAGCGAUGGCAAGCAAAUCUCGUAAACCAUGGCUCAGUUCAGAUCGCAGGCUGCAACUCGCCUGCGUGAAGUCGGAAUCGCUAGUAAUUGCAGGUCAGCAUACUGCAGUGAAUUCGUUCCCGGGCCUUGUACACACCGCCCGUCACACCAUGGAAGCUGGUCACGCCCGAAGUCGUUACCCUAACCUUUCGAGGAGGGGGACGCCGAAGGUAGGACUGGUGACUGGGGUGAAGUCGUAACAAGGUAGCCGUACCGGAAGGUGUGGCUGGAUCACCUCCUU
rnacentral:rRNA from 1 species